UGGGGAAUUGUUCGCAAUGGGCGCAAGCCUGACGACGCAACGCCGCGUGGAGGAUGAAGACCUUCGGGUCGUAAACUCCUUUCGACCGAGAUGAAUUCCUGCCGGCUGAAUACGCUGGCAGUUUGACAGUAUCGAGGGAAGCAGCCCCGGCUAACUCCGUGCCAGCAGCCGCGGUAAUACGGGGGGGGCAAGCGUUGUUCGGAAUUACUGGGCGUAAAGGGUUUGUAGGUGGCCCGCUAAGUCACACGUGAAAUCCCUCAGCUUAACUGGGGAACUGCGUGUGAGACUGGCAGGCUCGAGGGCAGGAGAGGAACGCGGAAUUCCAGGUGUAGCGGUGAAAUGCGUAGAUAUCUGGAGGAACACCGGUGGCGAAGGCGGCGUUCUGGACUGUCUCUGACACUGAAGAACGAAAGCCAGGGGAGCAAACGGGAUUAGAUACCCCGGUAGUCCUGGCCCUAAACGAUGAAUGCUUGGUGUGACGGGUAUCGAUCCCUGUCGUGCCGCAGCUAACGCGUUAAGCAUUCCGCCUGGGGAGUACGGUCGCAAGGCUGA
rnacentral:rRNA from 1 species